rnacentral:rRNA from 1 species
AACGAACGCUGGCGGCAGGCUUAACACAUGCAAGUCGAACGCACCGCAAGGUGAGUGGCAGACGGGUGAGUAACGCGUGGGAACCUACCCCUUGGUACGGGAUAGCUCCGGGAAACUGGAGAUAAUACCGUAUGUGUCCUGCGGGACAAAGAUUGUAUCGCCAAGGGAUGGGCCCGCGUCGGAUUAGGUAGUUGGGGGGGUAACGGCCUACCAAGGCGACGAUCCGUAGCUGGUCUAAGAGGAUGAUCAGCCACAUUGGGACUGAGACACGGCCCAAACUCCUACGGGAGGCAGCAGUGGGGAAUAUUGGACAAUGGGCGCAAGCCUGCUCCAGCCAUGCCGCGUGGGUGAUGAAGGCCCUAGGGUUGUAAAGCUCUUUCACCGGGGACGAUAAUGACGGUACCCGGAGAAGAAGCCCCGGCUAACUUCGUGCCAGCAGCCGCGGUAA